rnacentral:rRNA from 1 species
UAUGUGAUCGUCUCUCGCAUAUCAAUAAGCGGAGGAAAAGAAACUAACAAGGAUUCCCCUAGUAACGGCGAGUGAAGCGGGAAGAGCUCAAAUUUGAAAUCUUAAAGGGUUUCCCUUUACGAAUUGUAGUUUAAAGAAGUGUUUUCUGUUGAGGUUUUGGUAAAAGUUCUUUGGAAUAGGACAUCAUAGAGGGUGAGAAUCCCGUAUUUGACCUUUGCUUUCAACUUUGUGAUACACUUUCAAAGAGUCGGAUUGUUUGGGAAUGCAGUCCAAAAUGGGUGGUAAAUUUCAUCUAAAGCUAAAUAUUGGCGAGAGACCGAUAGCGAACAAGUACCGUGAGGGAAAGAUGAAAAGAACUUUGAAAAGAGAGUUAAACAGUACGUGAAAUUGUCAAAAGGGAAGCGUUUGACACCAGUGUUGUUUUUCUGAAAAUCAAUUAAAGAACUGUUUAUGCUAAGUUGUUUAGACUUUAUCAGCUAACUGUUUAGUUUUGAGCUUUUCUUUAAUGCACUUUUCAGUUAACAAGUCAACAUCAAUUUCUUUUGCUGUAAAAAAGCUUGAGGAAGGUGGCUUGAGAUUCGUCUUAAGUGUUUAUAGCCUCUUGCCUAUGCAGUCGGAGAGAUUGAGGUCUGCAGCGUAGAUCCUUCGGGGCUAAAUGCAUUUGUGCUAAGUUAUAGCAUUUUAUAGACAACUUGUUGACUAUGAUUUGUCUUGUAGCUUACUCGCUUAUGUUAUUUUACCUACGCUUAGGAUGUUGAGUAGCGACAUACGCAC